rnacentral:rRNA from 1 species
UAAUACGGAGGGGGCUAGCGUUGUUCGGAAUUACUGGGCGUAAAGCGUACGUAGGCGGCUUGGUAAGUUAGAGGUGAAAGCCUGGGGCUCAACCCCAGAAUUGCCUUUAAGACUGCCUCGCUUGAACGUCGGAGAGGUGAGUGGAAUUCCGAGUGUAGAGGUGAAAUUCGUAGAUAUUCGGAAGAACACCAGUGGCGAAGGCGGCUCACUGGACGACUGUUGACGCUGAGGUACGAAAGCGUGGGGAGCAAACAGG